AGCUGGGAGGCUGAGGCAGGAGGAUCACCAUGAGUUUGAGGUCAGCAUGGGCUACACAGUGAGUUCAAGGUCAGCCUGAAUUAUAGAGCAAGACCCUGUCUGAAACAAAACAAAACAAGGGUAGUCUUUACUAAGUAGACGUUGAUACUAUUAAUUUUUAAACAAAGGAAGAAACUGAGUCUCUGGGAGACACGUGCAAUAUCAAAACUAAACCCUGAUGCCACAUCUUCCCUUGCUUGAGAGCAAGUCCACAGGCCUGAGCCCUAACAGGAGCCUGCUGGGAUGGUCCCUGGCAUACCCUGUCAUGCUCUCCUGGGAGUGAGGUUCCAGAAGCUAAAGGUCAAAUGAAACCCACAUGGUCAGACCCAAAGACUGGGCCAGAAGUCAGAAUGUGGACACAGUUGCACCCUCCUGCUUCCUCUGGUCCCCCCAUGUCAGACUUCAGUCAGGCCAUACGUCAUCUGGAGGAAAACCAGGAGAUUUACAAUAAGGAGCGCGGAAGGACACUUUCUCCUCAGACAGCAGAAUUUCUUCUUUACUGUGACCACAGAUGCAGCUAGUGGUGACCGACUCUAUAGGAAAUGACUGCUGUAGUCUCCAUCUAACCCCCACUAAGCCAAAUCCUAUCGGGAGGAUUCCCCUGGGCUGGAUUUUGGGAUUCUCUUCUACGCAGCCCUGAAUUUCUGCUUGGUGGUUGAAGCUUCCCUUAACCUUGCCUACAGCUUUGAUUUCUCAACUAAGACUUGGGCAUCUGGAGGGCAUGUGCCUGGGUCUUCUUUCUCUUACACUGGCAAAGCAGCACUUGUAAAAACAAAAGGGCUCAUCUGCCGGCUGAGUACGCACUGUGUACAAGAAUCUGUAUCCCCCUUCUCCUCUUAAUCUCACUACAACCCUGGGAGUGGGUACUGAGCUUCUCAUUUACAGUUCCAAGUCUUUUGGAGGAUGUUGCGGAGAAUAACAAGGAUGUGAAUAAUAACAGUGCUAAUUCACACUGACCCCUCACUGUCCACCACACAGUCACAAGAGAUUUCUUUAUGCACAGACUCCUCAGCUCUCACAACGACUCAUGAGACAUCACUCCUAGAUAGGUAUCAGUAGCUGCUAUGAUUCCCACUUUACAGAUGGGAAAACUGAAGCAAAGGAGAAUUAAAUAAGGUCACAUAUCUGGCCACACAUCUGGAACACAUCAGGUCACACAUCUGGAACAGACGGGGUCAAACUUGGGAGACUGAGGUCCAGGUGCCAAUUAAGUAUUGCAUGCCAGCUGGUUUUCUAUAGUUUUGUCGGAACCCCGCCACACCUACAAGUCUGCUUAUUGUCCAUGUCGAGAGCUACUUUCCUAUACAACCAUAGUUGGAACAAAGACCACGUGGCCUGCAAAGCCUAAACUAUUCACUACAUGAACCUUUACAGAGAAAGUCUGCCAACCCCCGGUCUAGCUCUAGAGCUCGUGCUGCGUGAAAGCCCCAUGUCACUUCCUUCAGAAGGCCUUCCCCAAGCCCGGAUGGACAGGCAGAGCACAAGUCUCAUCCUCAGCACGAGACACAUCAGCAC
ensembl:lincRNA